rnacentral:rRNA from 1 species
AUUGAACGCUGGCGGCAGGCCUAACACAUGCAAGUCGAGCGGAUGAAGGGAGCUUGCUCCUGGAUUCAGCGGCGGACGGGUGAGUAAUUCCUAGGAAUCUGCCUGGUAUUGGGGGAUAACGUCCGUAAACGGGCGCUAAUACCGCAUACGUCCUGAGGGAGAAAGUGGGGGAUCUUCGGACCUCACGCUAUCAGAUGAGCCUAGGUCGUAUUAGCUAGUUGGUGGGGUAAAGGCCUACCAAGGCGACGAUCCGUAACUGGUCUGAGAGGAUGAUCAGUCACACUGGAACUGAGACACGGUCCAGACUCCUACGGGAGGCAGCAGUGGGGAAUAUUGGACAAUGGGCGAAAGCCUGACCCAGCAAUGCCGCGUGUGUGAAGAAGGUCUUCGGAUUGUAAAGCACUUUAAGUUGGGAGGAAGGGCAGUAAGUUAAUACCUUGCUGUUUUGACGUUACCAACAGAAUAAGCACCGGCUAACUUCGUG